ensembl:lncRNA
GGGAGCCGCUGUGGUUGUAGUGGGAGCCGCUGUGGUUGUAGUGGGAGCCGCAGUGGUUGUAGUGGGAGCCGCUGUGGUUGUAGUGGGAGCCGCUGUGGUUGUAGUGGGAGCAGCUGUGGUUGUAGUGGGAGGCGCUGUGGUUGUAGUGGGAGCAGCUGUGGUUGUAGUGGGAGAUGCUGUGGUUGUAGUGGGAGCCACUGUGGUUGUAGUGGGAGCCGCUGUGGUUGUUGUGGGAGACGCAGUGGUUGUUGUGGGAGCCGCUGUGGUUGUUGUGGGAGUCGCUGUUGUUGUUGUGGGAGCUUCUGUAGUUGUUGUGAGGUAAGCUGUAGUUGUUGUGGGAGCUUCUGUGGUUGUAGUGGGAGCCACUGUGGUUGUAGUGGGAGCCACUGUGGUUGUAGUGGGGGCGCUGUGGAUGUAGUGGGAGCAGCUGUGGUUGUAGUGGGAGCCACUGUGGUUGUAGUGGGAGGCGCUGUGGUUGUAGUGGGAGCAGCUGUGGUUGUAGUGGGAGCUGAUGUGGUUGUAGUGGGAGCAGCUGUGGUUGUAGUGGGAGCCGCUGUGGUUGUAGUGGGAGCCGCUCUGGUUGUAGUGGGAGCCGCUGUGGUUGUAGUGGGGGUGCUGUGGUUGUAGUGGGAGCCGCUGUGGUUGUAGUGGGAGCCGCUGUGGUUGUAGUGGGGGCGCUGUUGUUGUAGUGGGAGCAGCUGUGGUUGUAGUGGGAGCCGCUGUGUUUGUAGUGGGAGCCGCUGUGGUUGUAGUGGGAGCAUCUGUGGUUGUAGUGGGAGCCGCUGUGGUUGUAGUGGGAGCCGCUGUGGUUGUAGUGGGAGCCGCUGUGGU